CAUUUAUGCGUUUAAAACUCUUUUCUUUGACUUUAAUUACUGAUUACCUGAAUGCACUCAGUUUGACAGCAUCGAGAGCCGAGUAUGUUAAAUUGAAAAGUUUAAUUAAUUAUUAAUUUCGUUUGGUACGUACAACACCUUCGAGUAAAAAUGAAAGUUACGCACACAGACAAGAUAACCCGAGCCCUGCGUGACUAUAAAUAUGCUUGUGACAAGAACGUAAUUGGAGCCAUGCAUUUCAAGAAGCCCCUGCACCGCCCGGCGUGUGUUACAACAUCUCAUCGCGAGCCAGUGCUAACAGCUCCGCUGGUGACGGAGUCUCGCAGGCCCGCCGCCGAGUGCGGACCGACUCGUAGAAGACGUUACGUUGGUUGUUUCGCAAAGAUGCUGGACUCAUUUCUUAAUAAUUACUCCUGAUAUGGCACAGAAUUGUCUUCGCAGUGUAACAAGUUGGCUAUUGUUAUACAUACAACUUUGUGUUUGUUCUAAUGGUGUUAGGUCAGGUGUUGGAGUAAAAAUAAACAGAAACAAUAAUUUAA